GAUGAACGCUGGCGGCGUGCCUAAUACAUGCAAGUCGAGCGAACGGACGAGAAGCUUGCUUCUCUGAUGUUAGCGGCGGACGGGUGAGUAACACGUGGACAACCUACCUAUAAGACUGGGAUAACUUCGGGAAACCGGAUCUAAUACCGGAUGAUAUUUUGAACCGCAUGGUUCAAAAGUGAAAGACGGUCUUGCUGUCACUUAUAGAUGGAUCCGCGCUGCAUUAGCUAGUUGGUAAGGUAACGGCUUACCAAGGCAACGAUGCAUAGCCGACCUGAGAGGGUGAUCGGCCACACUGGAACUGAGACACGGUCCAGACUCCUACGGGAGGCAGCAGUAGGGAAUCUUCCGCAAUGGGCGAAAGCCUGACGGAGCAACGCCGCGUGAGUGAUGAAGGUCUUCGGAUCGUAAAACUCUGUUAUUAGGGAAGAACAUAUGUGUAAGUAACUGUGCACAUCUUGACGGUACCUAAUCAGAAAGCCACGGCUAACUACGUG
rnacentral:rRNA from 1 species